GCCCGUUUAGCGCAGUGGCUAACGCGCAUCACUCGUAUCCUAGAAUACUUUAAUGAUGAGAUCCUAGGUUCGAUUCCUAGAUCGGGCA